rnacentral:lncRNA from 1 species
AUGGAGGAGUGUCAGGCCUGUCAGGAGUGUGAGGUGGAGCAAGUGGCCACACCCUGCACCUUCACAAGUGACACCAUCUGCUCCACCCCCUCCACCACUGACAGCAGCAGGCUGUCCCUGUCCUGGGCUGGGGUUGUGACCCUGCCUCCUACCAAGAGCCACGCCCCUGGUCACGCCUUCCCCAACCUGCAGCUCCAUAUCCAUGGGCGGGGCGACAGCAAUCUGCUGGCCACCGAAGACGGCCAUCUGGUGCUGCGACAGCACGGCCUUGUGUGGGCAGACGAGAACUUGGCCCUGAGCCAUGGAUGCCGCAGUUUCGUCCAGGUGUGUCUGCAGCUUAACACCAGUGACCUGACCGAGGGGCGGGACCUUAGUGGGGUCAGGGUGGAGCAGCGGGAAGUUAAGUCGCUCCAGAGUGCCAGUGUCAGUGGGGUGGCAGAAGUUGCUCCAGGAAGUAUGCUCUCCCUGCUCCUCAGGAGUGCCAGCCACCAUUGCAACCACACAAGCGAUGGCCUGCACCUCCAUGACCCAUCUGUGGCCCCUCUCAGUCUCUUCUGGCUGUCCCACGAUACCGGUGCCGUUGCCAUGACUGCACAGGCAGUGUCAUCGGCGCACUACCACACCAACUACCGGCCCGCAUUCAAGACCACGUCCACCUCUGACCCGUAUGUUGUGGGGCUGACUCACGAUGGGCGUGGAGUGCGCUUCACCGAAAGUGGCACAGUGCGCUUUGUGUUCCAACAGGCACUCUACUCCAUGGGCCAGGCGUGCGUGACGGAAGGCUUUCACCUGCUGGCCUACCUCAACCACAAUGGUAGCAGCAUGGAGCUGGCUCGAACAUAUAAGACUGGUGUCCACUAUCGCGACACGUCCAUCUCCCUGUCGGCUGCUACCAUGGUCGGCCCCGGCGAUACUCUGGGCUUUGAGAUCCUCUCCCCGGGGCAGUGCAACAUUCGCUACUUCGGUGACGACUCCGGCAUCAGCGCCCUCAGUUUGGUGUGGAUCCCCACUGCCAUCUCCUCCGCCCUCUCCGCCUCCGUGGCACGCACAGGCUUGCCCUCCGGAGCGGUGCGCAACAAGCCCUUGUAUUUCCACCAGGUGAGCCCCCACAUGCCGCAGAUGCAGGUCGGGCUUCCAGGGAAGGGUCGCGCUGAACAAGGACGUGAGUUUGUCUUCACGGAGAGCGGGACAGCCAGCUUUGCACUGGACCUGAAGCUGAUCCACUCCUGCAACCCGGUUAAAAUCACCCUGCUCCGACAUAGAGGCGAGGGGGCAGGGGAGGAGGGCAAGCCAGUGCCCCUGGCCCAGCAGUUCGGGGGCCAGAUGCCAGAGGGCAGUGGGUGGGCAAGUGUGGGGCUGCGGGCCUCCUUCCAGGUCCACAAUGGCACGGCGGUUUAUGUCACAUUGGACUGCUUGCGAGGACGCAUCAAUCAGAUCAGUCAUCAGACGGGGAGCGGCGUCUCCAUACUGUGGGUGGCAGCGUAG